UACGGGGGGAGCAAGCGUUGUUCGGAUUUACUGGGCGUAAAGGGCUCGUAGGCGGCCAACUAAGUCAGACGUGAAAUCCCUCGGCUUAACCGGGGAACUGCGUCUGAUACUGGAUGGCUUGAGUUUGGGAGAGGGAUGCGGAAUUCCAGGUGUAGCGGUGAAACGCGUAGAUAUCUGGAGGAACACCGGUGGCGAAGGCGGCAUCCUGGACCAACACUGACGCUGAGUGAGCGAAAGCCAGGGGAGCAAACGGG
rnacentral:rRNA from 1 species